rnacentral:rRNA from 1 species
AAUGGGCGAAAGCCUGAUGCAGCAACGCCGCGUGAGCGAUGAAGGCCUUUGGGUCGUAAAGCUCUGUCCUUGGGGAAGAAACAAAUGACGGUACCCUUGGAGGAAGCCCCGGCUAACUACGUGCCAGCAGCCGCGGUAAUACGUAGGGGGCGAGCGUUAUCCGGAAUUACUGGGCGUAAAGGGUGCGUAGGUGGUUUUUUAAGUCAGAAGUGAAAGGCUACGGCUCAACCGUAGUAAGCUUUUGAAACUAGAGAACUUGAGUGCAGGAGAGGAGAGUAGAAUUCCUAGUGUAGCGGUGAAAUGCGUAGAUAUUAGGAGGAAUACCAGUAGCGAAGGCGGCUCUCUGGACUGUAACUGACACUGAGGCACGAAAGCGUGGGGAGCAAA